GAUGAACGCUGGCGGCGUGCUUAACACAUGCAAGUCGAACGAAGCAUUUAGGACAGAUUACUUCGGUUUGAAGUUCUUUAUGACUGAGUGGCGGACGGGUGAGUAACGCGUGGGUAACCUGCCUUGUACUGGGGGAUAGCAGCUGGAAACAGCUGGUAAUACCGCAUAAGCGCACAAUGUUGCAUGACAUGGUGUGAAAAACUCCGGUGGUAUAAGAUGGACCCGCGUCUGAUUAGCUAGUUGGUGAGAUAACAGCCCACCAAGGCGACGAUCAGUAGCCGAACUGAGAGGGUGACCGGCCACAUUGGGACUGAGACCCGGCCCAGACUCCUACGGGAGGCAGCAGUGGGGAAUAUUGCACAAUGGAGGAAACUCUGAUGCAGCGACGCCGCGUGAGUGAAGAAGUAAUUCGUUAUGUAAAGCUCUAUCAGCAGGGAAGAUAGUGACGGUACCCGACCAAGAAGCUCCGGCUAAAUACGUG
rnacentral:rRNA from 1 species